UGGGUUGUGGCUCAGUGGUAGAGCACUUGCCUUGCAUGUGUGAGGCCCUGGGUUCGGUUCCCAGCACCACAU
rfam:Ictidomys tridecemlineatus contig111579, whole genome shotgun sequence.